rnacentral:rRNA from 1 species
GAUGAACGCUGGCGGCAUGCCUAAUACAUGCAAGUCGAACGAGAGGAAGGAAAGCUUGCUUUUCUGAAUCUAGUGGCGAACGGGUGAGUAACACGUAGGUAACCUGCCCAUGUGCCCGGGAUAACUUCUGGAAACGGAUGCUAAAACCGGAUAGGUAGCAGACAAGCAUUUGACUGCUAUUAAAGUGGCUAAGGCCAUGAACAUGGAUGGACCUGCGGUGCAUUAGCUAGUUGGUGAGGUAACGGCCCACCAAGGCGACGAUGCAUAGCCGGCGUGAGGGGGCGGACGGCCACAUUGGGACUGAGACACGGCCCAAACUCCUACGGGAGGAAGCAGUAGGGAAUUUUCGUCAAUGGGGGGAACCCUGAACGAGCAAUGCCGCGUGAGUGAGGAAGGUCUUCGGAUCGUAAAGCUCUGUUGUAAGAGAAAAACGACAUUCAUAGGGAAUGAUGAGUGAGUGAUGGUAUCUUACCAGAAAGUCACGGCUAACUACGUGCCAGCCGCCGCCGUAA